rnacentral:rRNA from 1 species
ACAGAUGGGAGCUUGCUCCCUGAUGUUAGCGGCGGACGGGUGAGUAACACGUGGGUAACCUGCCUGUAAGACUGGGAUAACUCCGGGAAACCGGGGCUAAUACCGGAUGGUUGUUUGAACCGCAUGGUUCAGACAUAAAAGGUGGCUUCGGCUACCACUUACAGAUGGACCCGCGGCGCAUUAGCUAGUUGGUGAGGUAACGGCUCACCAAGGCGACGAUGCGUAGCCGACCUGAGAGGGUGAUCGGCCACACUGGGACUGAGACACGGCCCAGACUCCUACGGGAGGCAGCAGUAGGGAAUCUUCCGCAAUGGACGAAAGUCUGACGGAGCAACGCCGCGUGAGUGAUGAAGGUUUUCGGAUCGUAAAGCUCUGUUGUUAGGGAAGAACAAGUGCCGUUCAAAUAGGGCGGCACCUUGACGGUACCUAACCAGAAAGCCACGGCUAACUACGUGCCAGCAGCCGCGGUAAUACGUAGGUGGCAAGCGUUGUCCGGAAUUAUUGGGCGUAAAGGGCUCGCAGGCGGUUUCUUAAGUCUGAUGUGAAAGCCCCCGGCUCAACCGGGGAGGGUCAUUGGAAACUGGGGAACUUGAGUGCAGAAGAGGAGAGUGGAAUUCCACGUGUAGCGGUGAAAUGCGUAGAGAUGUGGAGGAACACCAGUGGCGAAGGCGACUCUCUGGUCUGUAACUGAC